UCCCUGGUGGCUCAGACGGUAAAGCGUCUGCCUGCAGUGCAGGAGACCCGGGUUCGAUCCCUGGGCUGGUAG
rnacentral:tRNA from 1 species